UGGCGGACGGGUGAGUAACGCGUGGAAAACCUGCCGUAUACUGGGGGAUAACACUUAGAAAUAGGUGCUAAUACCGCAUAAGCGCACAGCUUCGCAUGAAGCGGUGUGAAAAACUCUGGUGGUAUACGAUGGUUCCGCGUCUGAUUAGCUAGUUGGUGGGGUAAUGGCCUACCAAGGCAACGAUCAGUAGCCGGCCUGAGAGGGUGAACGGCCGCAUUGGGACUGAGACACGGCCCAAACUCCUACGGAAGGCAGCAG
rnacentral:rRNA from 1 species